GAUCAACGCUGGCGGCGUGCAUGAGACAUGCAAGUCGAACGAAGGAUCGGGCUUGCUCGAUCCUUAGUGGCGGACGGCUGAGUAACGCGUAGGUGACCUACCCCGAAGUGGGGAAUAACUGCCCGAAAGGGUGGCUAAUACCGCAUGUGGUCGCACGUUCAUUCGUGCGAGUAAAGCCGCAAGGCGCUUCGGGAGGGGCCUGCGUCCGAUUAGCUCGUUGGUGGGGUAAUGGCUUACCAAGGCGACGAUCGGUAGGUGGUCUGAGAGGACGAUCACACAGACUGGGACUGAGACACGGCCCAGACUCCUACGGGAGGCAGCAGUCGGGAAUUUUGCUCAAUGGGGGAAACCCUGAAGCAGCAACGCCGCGUGAGGGAUGAAGGCCUUCGGGUUGUAAACCUCUUUUGUCAGGGACGAUGAUGACGGUACCUGGCGAAUAAGCCACGGCUAACUACGUG
rnacentral:rRNA from 1 species